AGAGUUUGAUCCUGGCUCAGGAUGAACGCUAGCGACAGGCCUAACACAUGCAAGUCGAGGGGCAUCGGGGCUAGGAGCAAUCCUUGCCGCCGGCGACCGGCGCACGGGUGAGUAACGCGUAUGCGACCUGCCCGUUGCAGGGGGAUAAUCGGGAGAAAUCCCGUCUAAUACCGCGUAAUGCCGCGGGGCUGCAUGGCCCUGCGGCCAAAGGGAGCGAUUCCGGCAACGGAUGGGCAUGCGUGGCAUUAGCUAGUUGGCGGGGCAACGGCCCACCAAGGCGACGAUGUCUAGGGGUUCUGAGAGGAAGGUCCCCCACACUGGUACUGAGACACGGACCAGACUCCUACGGGAGGCAGCAGUGAGGAAUAUUGGUCAAUGGGCGCGAGCCUGAACCAGCCAAGUCGCGUGAGGGAUGACGGCCCUACGGGUUGUAAACCUCUUUUGUCGGGGAGCAAAUUCCGUUACGUGUAACGGAGUCGAGAGUACCCGAAGAAAAAGCAUCGGCAAACUCCGUGCCAGCAGCCGCGGUAAUACGGAGGAUGCGAGCGUUAUCCGGAUUUAUUGGGUUUAAAGGGUGCGUAGGCGGACUGUCAAGUCAGCGGUAAAAUACGGGGGCUCAACCUCCGCCCGCCGUUGAAACUGACGGUCUUGAGUGGGCGAGAAGUAUGCGGAAUGCGUGGUGUAGCGGUGAAAUGCAUAGAUAUCACGCAGAACUCCGAUUGCGAAGGCAGCAUACCGGCGCCCAACUGACGCUGAAGCACGAAAGCGUGGGUAUCGAACAGGAUUAGAUACCCUGGUAGUCCACGCAGUAAACGAUGAAUA
rnacentral:rRNA from 1 species